AUUGAACGCUGGCGGCAUGCUUUACACAUGCAAGUCGAACGGCAGCGCGGGCUUCGGCCUGGCGGCGAGUGGCGAACGGGUGAGUAAUGCAUCGGAACGUGCCCAGUAGUGGGGGAUAGCCCGGCGAAAGCCGGAUUAAUACCGCAUACGACCUGAGGGUGAAAGCGGGGGACCGAAAGGCCUCGCGCUAUUGGAGCGGCCGAUGUCGGAUUAGCUAGUUGGUGGGGUAAAGGCUUACCAAGGCGACGAUCCGUAGCUGGUCUGAGAGGACGACCAGCCACACUGGGACUGAGACACGGCCCAGACUCCUACGGGAGGCAGCAGUGGGGAAUUUUGGACAAUGGGGGCAACCCUGAUCCAGCCAUGCCGCGUGCGGGAAGAAGGCCUUCGGGUUGUAAACCGCUUUUGUUCGGGAAGAAAUCCUCUGGGCUAAUACCCCGGGGGGAUGACGAUACCGGAAGAAUAAGCACCGGCUAACUACGUG
rnacentral:rRNA from 1 species